rfam:Salegentibacter mishustinae strain KCTC 12263 contig10, whole genome shotgun sequence.
CAAGCAGGCCGCCUUAUCGCCACCGAUUUAAUCGAUGGAGGAAAUUCCGGACACCAAAGAGCGGCAUAGUGGGUAACGCCCACCUAUUUUAUUUUGAGCAAUCAAGAUAAAAUAAGGACUAGUGCAACAGAAAGGAUGUACAGGUAAUGCUGUAGUGAAAUCAGGUAAACUCUAUGCGGUGCAAUGCCAUGUAAACCGGUGUUUGCAAGCUGCUCGCUUGCUACCGGAGGGUAGGCAGCUAAAAGUUUUUGGCAACAAAAACCUGAGAUAAAUGAUAAGGGGAAUCCCGGUUUUACCGGGAGGAACAGAAUCCGGAUUAUAGGCCUGCUUUUUUU